UCUAAGAAAAAAAUUUUCAAAAUUGACCAUGGAAUCUUUUUCCAGAAGAUCUUAACAUCUUCCAAGAUAUUUGCUUGGAAAAUGAAACUAUUUGUGGAAACCAACCAAACCAAAUGAAAACAAAAGAAUAACAAUAAUAAAACAUUUUUUGGUUCUAAAUUCAUCUUUUUAACCCGCUUUACCUGAGGUAUGGAAGAUACAUUUAUUUAGAACCUCUCAUAUUCUAGAAGGCAUUAGUGGUGCAAUUAACAUUCUCUGAAGGGAAAGGAUAACCAGCUGAGUUGGAGCGAACAGAGGGAAUGUUUGGAGUACUUUCCACCUAAAGGGUGAUUUCUGUGAAGUGAAUUCCUAAAUGCUUUAAAUUACUCUGUUACUAACCAUUAAUCUGUGGAGCUCACACAGCCACCAGUAGUCAAUUACUUGACCGUUUUGAUUAAAAACAAUUACCAGAAACUUUGUCUUUUUGCAAAUUUCCUGAAGAAAAAUAUCUGCUUAAAAUGUAAGGACUUGGCUCUAAGCUUUACAAGGCAGAAGAAGAGAACACCUUGCCUAUUUUGUAUAAGGAGUUAGGCUGAGUGUAUGAUACACAGAGACACCAGGCAUGGCUCCUGCCCUGGGAACUCAUCUUUUUCUGUGAGAACUCCAAAAUUGCCACUAGCCGCUGAACAACCAUUUACAGGAAAAUGUUGGAUCCCACCAAAACAGAUACCUCAUGUUUAAGGGCAAAGGAGAAGCCCCAACAAGACAGUAGGAGGGGCAAAUUGCAUUUAGAAUCAAACCAUGUGCCUGCCAAAGACUCUUGCAGGGUUCAAAAAAAUCCUUGUGUGCACCAGGACGCAGGGACCCCACAAGAGACUAAGUCAGACCUGCUUUUGAGUGUUUGAGUGUCUUCUGCAGAGGCACAGGUUAGCAGUGGCCUGCGGUGGGGACAGGGGCUCUGGCUGCAACAGACCUGGGAGACAUACCACAGAGCCACACAGCAGACAACCCACAAAAUGGACAAUUAUACCAAAGAAGUUCUUGUACUGCUGUGAAAUUUCU
ensembl:lncRNA